rnacentral:lncRNA from 1 species
GAGUUGAGGCCCUCUAAUUGGAUUGGCAACUUCCAUUGAAAGGAGGGUCUCAUGAACCCCCCUCCUCUCAUAAAUACCCAUAUAUAAUUAUGCAAAGUGACAUGGAAUUAAAAAAUAUACUACAUAUCAAUCACAAGAAUGGUAUUAUAAAAAAAAAUCAAAAAUUUUUGACAAAAAAGAAGAGGUGUCCAUGGUAGAUUUCUAGCUGGAGAGGAGUAACUAUAUGAAGAGCUAGUGAAACACAUAAAUAUGUUGAUGAUAUAACAAUAUAGUAGUUGACUUAUGGUAAAUGGUUUCUCAUUGUCCGAUAUGAAUGAUACACAAAACAAAGGAGAUUUAAUAGUCCUUGAUCCACUGAUGAUGAACAUGAAAAUAGAAAAAGGAGUUACCAUUCCGCAUCUCCAUUAGCUCUUUGGAACACAUAGUCUUUUCCAUUGAGAUGCAUGAUCCCAUCUUUCAAAUGAAACUUCCAUUUAUUUCGUGCCCGAGUGAUUUUGUCGUAUUGGCAAACAACGACAUUGUCUGUAUCAAAGAGAUCUGAGGGGUCCUCCUCUGAAAUAUCAUCAUUGGAGCCAAGUGGCUCUUCUUCCACGCCCCCUUCCUCGUUGUCUUCGUCAUCGAUGUUGUCUCCGUCAUCGUCCUCAUCUUCGUCGUCCUCAUCCUCGUCGUCUUCAUCCUCGUCAUCCUCAUCGUUGUCGAUGUCGUCGUCCGAGGAGUCAUUCGCACCAUCCAUUUGAAUGAGGCUUCUCUUCUUCCGCUUCUCUUCUCGCGUCCGCCGCAGGGGCUUCGAACCCUAAAAAUAAAAAGGAGAGAACUCAUCUCUGAUUCAAACUGAGAAAGCCUGUGGAGACUCACGUGUGCCACGGGAGGAGCCACAGAGCCAGAGGCACAAGCAAUUAUCUCCACAUCUGGAUCCUCUUCUUCUUCUUCUUCUUCUUGGUGUAGAGGGUCUUCCAGAGUUUGGAUCUCCCCUCCCAACCGUCCAGGAGCAUCCAAUUCACUCAUUUUUGACAACCAAAGUUCCUCGAGCUUCUUGAGCACAUCCCCACUCAACUCAUCCCUCACGGACUCCAUAACGGAGCUCAUGAUACUGGACUCGCGUAAAUCUGACAUCUAAAGCACUCGCUUCACUGAUCUGAUGAUCCCACUCCUCAAUUACAAAUUAAAAACUUAAAAGACAGCCAUGAAUUCCGAGUAGUCGAAUUUCUUAAGACUCAAUAACUAUUAACUAAUAAGUAAUAAGUAACGUAACUUCCAAGCUUGAGCGCCGUUCUAUUAAGUACAUGUACUUGUUGUUUUAUUAGCCGAACAUGGAAAAUCAAAAUAAAAACACAGAGUCGCCGGCAUUGACAUGGCUUUUAUUUUGUACACCCAUGACGUCAAGUAUACGUCAUAACCAAGGAAAAAUAAAUACUUAAAGAUGACAAGAAUUUCUACUUGGCUGCUGGCUUAGUUUGACAGACAGAGAACAAACAUUCUGAUCUUAAAAAUUGUGUACAGCUGUUGUAAUGUGUGUAAUUGUAGAUAUGUUAUAAUCCGAAGGAAAAAAUCGAACUUGGUUUGACUUGAGCACAUCUUAAAUUAUUUGAAACAUCGUCUUAAUUCUAUUUGGCAAUGAAUAUCUAAGAAUUCAUUGAUUCAAUUUAUGGCUGUUUCAGCGUUAUUAAUUCAUUAACAAAUAAUCGGCAGAUAAAAACGAAGGAAGAUUCAAACAGUGAUUAAAACACUUCCCGAACAAAAUAAUAUUUGAAGCGUCCUCUAUGGUGUUAACAUGGGACUUGAUAAAGGGGGACUUACAACUUCUUUUUGAAUCACAAAACCUAUUGACCCGAGUAGGGACGACAUUGAAUUCCAUUAAUUAGCAGUCAGUUGAAGGAGGGAGGUGGGAGAGGGGAGGAGUUGGAAAGAUAUUGUAUUGCAGUCAUGGUUAUUUGGAUGGAUCUCUCCUACGUAGCAAUUGAAUAUAUGGAUCCUUAUCCAUCUAUCCUGUUCUUAGAAAUAUCCCAUUCACACGCCUUCUGAUUUCGACUCGUAAGGGGAGAUCUCUUGACUGAACAAGUGCUUCACUCGUUGGAUCUCAUCUCCUUUAAUGGAAGGACCGUUAAUUGUGCAAGUGCAUCUUAAUGUCAAUGAUAGUGACUUCUGAUCUCGUCAAUCAUUGUCUCUAUACAUAAAUUCCUCCAGAUCCUCUAUGGAAUCCUCGUAUUCUUCUUCAUAUAAGAACUAAGGAGUUCCAUAAAGCAACAGAAAGACGACCCGAUGAGGAACGAAGAGAGUUCUCAUCCUCCAUCCACAGCUCCUUCUUUGAACUUCUUCAAGCUCAGCUCUGCUUCGUCUCCUACUCUAAGAAAACUAUUUUACUAAUAAGAGUAGUUCGGUACCCUUGAUGUACCUUUGGUAUAUAAUGCAGAAAUCACUCAUCGCAAUCAGAUUUAUAUCAAUUCCAUUUAUAAGUUGGACUUAUACGGAUAAUUAUAUCAUCUGGACACUUCACUCUCACGACUGAUUUCUUUACUGAGUCUCUUUUGACUUUGGAAAAUAAGUGCAAGAUGAUUAUGGACUCGUAAAGAUAUUUAAGAUGUCUAGAUAUUUUGGUCUAGAAUGCAUAUUCUAUUAUGAUAUUUAUUACAUAUAAAUAGUUUUUUGCAACUGGAGAGUUCCACAAAAAGAAAUAAUUCCCGAAUUACUCAGUGAGGAACCAAGAGUUAUUUCUCAUUCACAGCUCCUUCGUUGAAACUCUUGAACCUGUUUCUUCCAAAGUCGACUUUUUUUCGUCUCUUAUUCUGAGAAAAAUAUUUCAUUUUUAAGAAUCCUUCCAUUUCCUUGAUUUAUAUAUGGAAGAAAUCCCUUGGAAAAAAGAAGAAGUCAAUCUCAGACUCUUAAUGAAUGUGCAGCCUUUUGUCUCUAUUCUUUUGAAUGUAAUCGUUAUUAUAUUUUGUUAAUAUCUGCAUGAAUAGAUGGUCUGAAUUAUUGAGUGCUACGUGAUUAUUUGAUAACAAAGUAUAAGUGACCUCUUAACUUCUGUAGACUUGAAAUUUCGAAACUUAUUUAGUCUUAAUCAUCUUCUAAAAAAUUUAAUAAGUUAUCACUAUAUUCGAAUAUUACCCGCAUGAAGAUUAAGGAUUUCCACACUAAUAAAGAUUAAUAAUAAAUGUUUCCCAUUACAGUUCUUAUAUUUAAUUAUUAGUUAUUUUAAAAAUGCUCAUUAAUGACAUAGAUACUGACGUUCAAAAUUAUAAUCUGACUAUUUAUAUUUUAUUCUACUUUUCUUUGAUUUAUACCAAUAUAUAUAUAUUAUAGAAAUGUAUUAUUAUUUUAAGAUAUGAAUAAAACACAUUUUUUUUAGAGUAAAUCCUUUAUUUAAUUAAACAAAAUGAAAAUUCAAGAUUUAGAAGAUAACUUAAUAAUUUUUUUGAGAAUUGGACAAAGAGAAUUGACCUUUUUUUUUACACGAACUUAUGCUACUAUUAGCUUCAUUUAUGAUAUUUUUGAUAGGACAUAUCAAAAUAUUUAAAUCCAACUUGAGCAAUAUAAUUAGCAAAAAGAUGUUGUUUUUUACACUUUAGCCCAAUAGGAAUUUCUCGUUUCUAAUAAAUUGGCAAAUAGUUUUGUUAAGCAUCGUCUAGGAUUUGUCAAGGUCAAUAAAAUUUGUCGAGUUUUGGUCUCUGGGAAUAUCAUUGUAAAGCUGACCAGAAUGUAAUGUAGUUAAAUAUAAUAAAUCUGACGCCUUUUUAA